rnacentral:lncRNA from 1 species
CAAGAAAAUGCCUAAAAUCUAAAUACAUUUAAAGAUAUGUGUUGUAUAUUUCCACCUGCAGGGGAGCUACCUGAGACAUUGGCCAUUAUCCUCAGUGAAACAAACUUUGAUUUUCCAGACAUAAGGAAGAGAUGCAAAAGGUGGGAUCAGAAAACAGCUGAUAGUGGAUGCCAGCUGAAAAAGCCUGUGACGUACUGAAGGGCACCAAUGCCUUAUACUCUCAGGGGGGUUUUCUGACUUGGGCUAACAAAGCCAGCAAAACACAGAUAUUAAUCAGAGCA